rnacentral:rRNA from 1 species
CUACGGGGCGCUCCAGUGGGGAAUAUUGGACAAUGGGGGAAACCCUGAUCCAGCAAUGCCGCGUGGAGGAUGACGCAUUUCGGUGUGUAAACUCCUUUUAUAUGUCAAGAAAAUGACGGUAGCAUAUGAAUAAGCACCGGCUAACUCCGUGCCAGCAGCCGCGGUAAUACGGAGGGUGCAAGCGUUACUCGGAAUCACUGGGCGUAAAGGAGCGUAGGCGGGUUGGAAAGUCAGGUGUGAAAUCCUACAGCUUAACUGUAGAACUGCACUUGAAACUUCUAAUCUAGAGUAUGGGAGGGGGAGAUGGAAUUAGUGGUGUAGGGGUAACAUCCGUAGAUAUCACUAGGAAUACCUAAAGCGAAGGCGAUCUCCUGGAACAUUACUGACGCUAAGGCGUGAAAGCGUGGGGAGCAAACAGGAUUAGAUACCCCUGUAGUC